AGCGUACACGGUGGAUGCCCUGGCAGUCAGAGGCGAUGAAGGACGUGCUAAUCUGCGAUAAGCGUCGGUAAGGUGAUAUGAACCGUUAUAACCGGCGAUUUCCGAAUGGGGAAACCCAGUGUGUUUCGACACACUAUCAUUAACUGAAUCCAUAGGUUAAUGAGGCGAACCGGGGGAACUGAAACAUCUAAGUACCCCGAGGAAAAGAAAUCAACCGAGAUUCCCCCAGUAGCGGCGAGCGAACGGGGAGCAGCCCAGAGCCUGAAUCAGUGUGUGUGUUAGUGGAAGCGUCUGGAAAGGCGCGCGAUACAGGGUGACAGCCCCGUACACAAAAAUGCACAUGCUGUGAGCUCGAUGAGUAGGGCGGGACACGUGGUAUCCUGUCUGAAUAUGGGGGGACCAUCCUCCAAGGCUAAAUACUCCUGACUGACCGAUAGUGAACCAGUACCGUGAGGGAAAGGCGAAAAGAACCCCGGCGAGGGGAGUGAAAAAGAACCUGAAACCGUGUACGUACAAGCAGUGGGAGCACGCUUAGGCGUGUGACUGCGUACCUUUUGUAUAAUGGGUCAGCGACUUAUAUUCUGUAGCAAGGUUAACCGAAUAGGGGAGCCGAAGGGAAACCGAGUCUUAACUGGGCGUUAAGUUGCAGGGUAUAGACCCGAAACCCGGUGAUCUAGCCAUGGGCAGGUUGAAGGUUGGGUAACACUAACUGGAGGACCGAACCGACUAAUGUUGAAAAAUUAGCGGAUGACUUGUGGCUGGGGGUGAAAGGCCAAUCAAACCGGGAGAUAGCUGGUUCUCCCCGAAAGCUAUUUAGGUAGCGCCUCGUGAAUUCAUCUCCGGGGGUAGAGCACUGUUUCGGCAAGGGGGUCAUCCCGACUUACCAACCCGAUGCAAACUGCGAAUACCGGAGAAUGUUAUCACGGGAGACACACGGCGGGUGCUAACGUCCGUCGUGAAGAGGGAAACAACCCAGACCGCCAGCUAAGGUCCCAAAGUCAUGGUUAAGUGGGAAACGAUGUGGGAAGGCCCAGACAGCCAGGAUGUUGGCUUAGAAGCAGCCAUCAUUUAAAGAAAGCGUAAUAGCUCACUGGUCGAGUCGGCCUGCGCGGAAGAUGUAACGGGGCUAAACCAUGCACCGAAGCUGCGGCAGCGACACUAUGUGUUGUUGGGUAGGGGAGCGUUCUGUAAGCCUGCGAAGGUGUGCUGUGAGGCAUGCUGGAGGUAUCAGAAGUGCGAAUGCUGACAUAAGUAACGAUAAAGCGGGUGAAAAGCCCGCUCGCCGGAAGACCAAGGGUUCCUGUCCAACGUUAAUCGGGGCAGGGUGAGUCGACCCCUAAGGCGAGGCCGAAAGGCGUAGUCGAUGGGAAACAGGUUAAUAUUCCUGUACUUGGUGUUACUGCGAAGGGGGGACGGAGAAGGCUAUGUUGGCCGGGCGACGGUUGUCCCGGUUUAAGCGUGUAGGCUGGUUUUCCAGGCAAAUCCGGAAAAUCAAGGCUGAGGCGUGAUGACGAGGCACUACGGUGCUGAAGCAACAAAUGCCCUGCUUCCAGGAAAAGCCUCUAAGCAUCAGGUAACAUCAAAUCGUACCCCAAACCGACACAGGUGGUCAGGUAGAGAAUACCAAGGCGCUUGAGAGAACUCGGGUGAAGGAACUAGGCAAAAUGGUGCCGUAACUUCGGGAGAAGGCACGCUGAUAUGUAGGUGAAGUCCCUCGCGGAUGGAGCUGAAAUCAGUCGAAGAUACCAGCUGGCUGCAACUGUUUAUUAAAAACACAGCACUGUGCAAACACGAAAGUGGACGUAUACGGUGUGACGCCUGCCCGGUGCCGGAAGGUUAAUUGAUGGGGUUAGCCGCAAGGCGAAGCUCUUGAUCGAAGCCCCGGUAAACGGCGGCCGUAACUAUAACGGUCCUAAGGUAGCGAAAUUCCUUGUCGGGUAAGUUCCGACCUGCACGAAUGGCGUAAUGAUGGCCAGGCUGUCUCCACCCGAGACUCAGUGAAAUUGAACUCGCUGUGAAGAUGCAGUGUACCCGCGGCAAGACGGAAAGACCCCGUGAACCUUUACUAUAGCUUGACACUGAACAUUGAGCCUUGAUGUGUAGGAUAGGUGGGAGGCUUUGAAGUGUGGACGCCAGUCUGCAUGGAGCCGACCUUGAAAUACCACCCUUUAAUGUUUGAUGUUCUAACGUUGACCCGUAAUCCGGGUUGCGGACAGUGUCUGGUGGGUAGUUUGACUGGGGCGGUCUCCUCCUAAAGAGUAACGGAGGAGCACGAAGGUUGGCUAAUCCUGGUCGGACAUCAGGAGGUUAGUGCAAUGGCAUAAGCCAGCUUGACUGCGAGCGUGACGGCGCGAGCAGGUGCGAAAGCAGGUCAUAGUGAUCCGGUGGUUCUGAAUGGAAGGGCCAUCGCUCAACGGAUAAAAGGUACUCCGGGGAUAACAGGCUGAUACCGCCCAAGAGUUCAUAUCGACGGCGGUGUUUGGCACCUCGAUGUCGGC
rnacentral:rRNA from 1 species